GAUGAACGCUGGCGGCGUGCCUAAUACAUGCAAGUCGAGCGAACAGACGAGGAGCUUGCUCCUCUGACGUUAGCGGCGGACGGGUGAGUAACACGUGGAUAACCUACCUAUAAGACUGGGAUAACUUCGGGAAACCGGAGCUAAUACCGGAUAAUAUAUUGAACCGCAUGGUUCAAUAGUGAAAGACGGUUUUGCUGUCACUUAUAGAUGGAUCCGCGCCGCAUUAGCUAGUUGGUAAGGUAACAGCUUACCAAGGCAACGAUGCGUAGCCGACCUGAGAGGGUGAUCGGCCACACUGGAGCUGAGACACGGUCCAGACUCCUACGGGAGGCAGCAGUAGGGAAUCUUCCGCAAUGGGCGAAAGCCUGACGGAGCGGCGCCGCGUGAGUGAUGAAGGUCUUCGGAUCGUAAAACUCUGUUAUUAGGGAAGAACAAAUGUGUAAGUAACUAUGCACGUCUUGACGGUACCUAAUCAGAAAGCCCCGGCUAGCUACGUG
rnacentral:rRNA from 1 species